rnacentral:rRNA from 1 species
CCUACGGGAGACAGCAGUGAGGAAUAUUGGUCAAUGGGCUUACGCCUGAACCAGCCAAGUCGCGUGAGGGAAGACUGCCCUAUGGGUUGUAAACCUCUUUUGUCAGGGAGCAAUUUGCGCUACGUGUAGCGUUAUCUAUAGUACCUGAAGAAAAAGCAUCGGCUAACUCCGUGCCAGCAGCCGCGGUAAUACGGAGGAUGCGAGCGUUAUCCGGUUUUAUUGGGUUUAAAGGGUGCGUAGGCGGAAUGCCAAGUCAGCGGGAAAAUCGCGGGGCUCAACCUCGCUCCGCCGUUGAAACUGGCGGUCGGGAGUGGGCGAGAAGUAGGCGGAAUGCGUGGUGUAGCGGUGAAAUGCAUAGAUAUCACGCAGAACUCCGAUUGCGAAGGCAGCAUACCGGCGCCCAACUGACGCUGAAGCACGAAAGCGUGGGUAUCGAACAGGAUUAGAUACCCCAAUAGUC